rnacentral:lncRNA from 1 species
GAAAAGACUAAAUUACUUUUAAUGAAUAUUUCAAUCAUAAACCCACAAUUCAUCAGAUCCCAACAAACACACCGCAAAAGAAGAUUACAUCGAAUCGAUCUCCAAAAAGAAUAUUCUAUUAAAGAUCAAAGAGAGAGAAAAAGUCAUCUCCCUAAUCACUAUGGACCAGUAGGUCUGUGGUGAACUAUUCACGCAUCAUCGGAAGGGUACUAAAGUUGAUGUAGAAUCCCUCCAUGAUCGAUUCCCACUCUGGCAGAGUACCAGAAAAGGCCUCCAGAUGGGAUCACGAAAGAACAUAAGCUUGCGGCGGCGAAAAAUUGUUUCAGGUGACUCUCCGUUGGUUUUGGGAUUUAUGAGAAAUUAUAGGCUUGGAAUUAGGUUAAAUGGAGCUGCAUGGGCCCCACAAGCUCAGGUGGCGCCCCCGGGGUGCGUUGUGUAAGCUUGUGGCCCUCCCAUAGAUCGUCUGGUCUCCUCCCGAAGCUUCUAGGGUCACUUAUAGUCCAGGAAAAAAUCACUGUAAAGUUUCAUCGUGCUUAGACUUCGUUUGGUAUUGAUUUUCUGAAAAACAAAAAACAUGCAGGAAACAUGACUUUGCACUGGGCAUUGAGUUAACAGGUUAGUUCCCAAAAAUAAAAUAAAACUGCAUAUAAAGCAUCCAAGAUUCAUAAUAUAAUAGCAUGAAGCAAUAAAAAAUUAUAGAUACAUUAGAGAUGAAUCAACCGCCGAUGCAUCGCCACCUAGCACAGCUGGUGACUUGCUCGGUUCAGCGCUGCCCAUCGUCCACCCUCACCUCGGCUUCACGGAAGCGGAGGAGCCCACCUUCCUCUCUGGCUGAAGCACCCUCUUUGCCACUCCAAUGAGAGGCAUAGCCGGACAUAUGAAAAGAUACGAGGGAAGAAUAUACCUCCGAAGCUCCCGGUAGCCCACUCAGGCUGCCGGACAUGGGAAAAACAAAGGGACCUAGCGCAGCCGGCCGUAGACUAGUUUAGUGUGUCUGUGUCAUGUGAAUGGGGCUCCGCGCGGUCGAACGUGCACAUUGUUUUAUAAUAUUUAGUUAAAAUAUGUCCAAAAUGUAAAUGUUUACUUCCGGUUUGUAUGAAAUCCGUUGUGUUUGCAUGAAUUUCAUUAGGUUUGUUAAAUAACUGUUUGAAAUGUAUGCGGGUAGCGUUGGAUGGCUGGCUUCGGCAUCCAUGUCCGCAGACUGACCCCCCAUGUCUGCGGAUGGAUGCUAGAGCAAAUUUGUGGGUCAGCAUUGGAGAUGCCUUAAGUGGGAUAUUGUUCGUCGGCUAACCAACCAUGGAGGGUUGGGUAUCCUAGAUCUAGAUAAAUUUGCAACGGCCCUUCAUUUGAGAUGGUCAUGGUAUGAGUGGAUUGACCUGAUGAGAUCUUGGGUUGGUCUUGAAAGCCCAUGCAUCGAGAAGGACAUGGACCUUUUCUACGCGCUGACAUUAAUAAAUCUUGGAAGAAUGACAAAAUUUUGGCACACGCCAUGGCUUGGGGGCCGCAAGCCAAAGGAUAUCUCCCCAACCAUUUUCGUAAUAUCAAAGUCUACUAAUGAGAAUAUUAAGAGCGCCAUAUCGGGCGAGGCUUGGAUAAGAAAUGUAAAGACCGUAGUCUGUUGGUGGGAAAACUUGCCUUGGCAUAUCAUGCUCAGUUUGAAGGUAUGGUGACGACGUCCACGAGACCGGUCAUUUGGACAGUCAACCUUGUUGGAGGGACUCAGAGACUGCUGGCUAGCUGCCUCAAGAGGAGAGGUUGGCCAAUUGUGUAGGCUUUGUCAAUUUUGUAAGAGAAAGUCAGGGACUACUGGCUAGCUGCCU